CCUACGGGAUGCAGCAGUGGGGAAUAUUGGACAAUGGGCGAAACCCUUAUCCAGCGACGCCGCGUGAGGGAUGAAGGUCUUCGGAUUGUAAACCUCUGUCAGUGGGGACGAAAAUGACGGUACCCACGGAGUUAGCCAUGGCUAACUACGUGUCAGCAGCCGCGGUAAUACGUAGGUGGCAAGCGUUGUCCGGAAUUACUGGGUGUAAAGGGAGCGUAGGCGGGAUGGCAAGUCAGAAGUGAAAAUUAUGGGCUUAACUCACAAUCUGCUGUUGAAACUGAUAAUCUAGAGUGAAGUAGAGGUAAGCGGAAUUCCUAGUGUAGCGGUGAAAUGCGUAGAUAUUAGGAAGAACACCAGUGGCGAAGGCGGCUUGCUGGGCAUUUACUGACGCUGAGGCUCGAAAGCGUGGGGAGCAAACAGGAUUAGAUACCCCUGUAGUC
rnacentral:rRNA from 1 species